AUCCACUGAGCAAAUUGAGAACA
rnacentral:piRNA from 1 species